CUCUGAGAUACCCUGAAGUCCAUCCUCUCUUGAAAGAAGAUCUCUUCUUCCAGUCUUCUCUUCUAGGAGACUAGAACCAUGAAGCUCUUCCUUGUAUCUUUCCUCAUGGCUUUCCUGGCUGUCCAGGCCCCAUAUUUUAGAAGAUUUGCUCCAAGGCCUCCGUAUCCUGGAAAUUUUGGAUAUUUUCCAAGGGUUCCAUAUCCUCAAUUUCCUGGAUAUCCUCCAUAUCCAUAUGCAUAUUAUCAGAAUCCUGAAAAUCCUCCAUAUUAUGCAUAUCCUACAAAUGCCGAAAAUGCACCCCAAGAAGAACCUCAAUAAACACAGCUUUGCCUGGAACACUGACUCGAGGUGUCUGUGAAUCUACAAAUUGGUCAAUCUGCCCAUCUGCCUAGUUAUCAGCCUCUAUUAUUGAGCAACAGAUAGUUGCUCCAACCUUGUUAGAGUAAUAUGAAUCAUUCUUCCAAAGGACUGAUGCUCUCAUUUACACUCCCCAUAUAAUAAAUUCAGUUCACAGCUUAUUGAAUUUCUGUUG
rnacentral:lncRNA from 1 species